AAACCAAUGUGGGAUAUUAACAAUAUCCCCUUCAAGCUGAUAACUACACAAUGAAAGUAUGAUUAUUUUCCUAAGUUGGCAUAUACUUAACAGUUAUCAAGCACAAGUUUCGGUUCAAAAUUUUGUGGCCUGGAAGAGAAAUGGUAGUAAUAUCUGCAACUCAUUUAUUCCUGGACUCAUAGAAUAUUUGAUAUAAGAUUGUCUUACUGAUCUUGUAUUUAUUUUAGGGGGGUGUAACUGAGGAACAAAUGCUGAAGUUUAUGGGAGCA
rnacentral:misc_RNA from 1 species